rnacentral:rRNA from 1 species
GAACCGUGCGAACGUUGUUCGGAAUCACUGGGCUUAAAGGGCGCGUAGGCGGGCUCGCCAGUCUGUGGUGAAAUCCUCCAGCCCAACUGGAGAAUGGCCGUGGAUACUGCGAGUCUCGAGGGAGGUAGGGGCGUGCGGAACAGAUGGUGGAGCGGUGAAAUGCGUUGAUAUCAUCUGGAACUCCGGUGGCGAAGGCGGCACGCUGGACCUCUUCUGACGCUGAGGCGCGAAAGCCAGGGGAGCAAACGGGAUUAGAUACCCCGGUAGUCCUGGCCCUAAACGUUGGGUACUAGAUAGUAGCCUUCACAUGGGGUUACUGUCGGAGCAAAAGUGCUAAGUACCCCGCCUGGGGAGUAUGGUCGCAAGGCUGAA